AAGAGCUCGUAGGCGGUUUGUCGCGUCUGCUGUGAAAGCCCGGGGCUCAACCCCGGGUCUGCAGUGGGUACGGGCAGACUAGAGUGCAGUAGGGGAGACUGGAAUUCCUGGUGUAGCGGUGAAAUGCGCAGAUAUCAGGAGGAACACCGAUGGCGAAGGCAGGUCUCUGGGCUGUAACUGACGCUGAGGAGCGAAAGCAUGGGGAGCGAACAGGAUUAGAUACCCUGGUAGUCCAUGCCGUAAACGUUGGGCACUAGGUGUGGGGGACAUUCCACGUUUUCCGCGCCGUAGCUAACGCAUUAAGUGCCCCGCCUGGGGAGUACGGCCGCAAGGCUAAAACUCAAAGGAAUUGACGGGGGCCCGCACAAGCGGCGGAGCAUGCGGAUUAAUUCGAUGCAACGCGAAGAACCUUACCAAGGCUUGACAUGAACCGGUAAGACCUGGAAACAGGUCCCCCACUUGUGGCCGGUUUACAGGUGGUGCAUGGUUGUCGUCAGCUCGUGUCGUGAGAUGUUGGGUUAAGUCCCGCAACGAGCGCAACCCUCGUUCUAUGUUGCCAGCGGGUUAUGCCGGGGACUCAUAGGAGACUGCCGGGGUCAACUCGGAGGAAGGUGGGGACGACGUCAAAUCAUCAUGCCCCUUAUGUCUUGGGCUUCACGCAUGCUACAAUGGCCCGGUACAAGGGUUGCGAUACUGUGAGGUGGAGCUAAUCCCAAAAAGCCGGUCUCAGUUCGGAUUGAGGUCUGCAACUCGACCUCAUGAAGUUGGAGUCGCUAGUAAUCGCAGAUCAGCAACGCUGCGGUGAAUACGUUCCCGGGGCCUUGUACCCCACCGGCCCGUCAAGUCCCGAAGUUGGUAACACCCGGAAGCCGGUGGCCUAACCCCUUG
rnacentral:rRNA from 1 species